AACGAACGCUGGCGGCAUGCCUAACACAUGCAAGUCGAACGAUGCCUUCGGGCAUAGUGGCGCACGGGUGCGUAACGCGUGGGAAGCUGCCUUUCGGUUCGGAAUAACUCAGGGAAACUUGAGCUAAUACCGGAUAACGUCGCAAGACCAAAGAUUUAUCACCGAAAGAUGAGCCCGCGUAGGAUUAGCUAGUUGGUGAGGUAAAGGCUCACCAAGGCGACGAUCCUUAGCUGGUCUGAGAGGAUGAUCAGCCACACUGGGACUGAGACACGGCCCAGACUCCUACGGGAGGCAGCAGUGGGGAAUAUUGGACAAUGGGCGAAAGCCUGAUCCAGCAAUGCCGCGUGAGUGAUGAAGGCCUUAGGGUUGUAAAGCUCUUUUACCCGGGAAGAUAAUGACGGUACCGGGAGAAUAAGCCCCGGCUAACUCCGUG
rnacentral:rRNA from 1 species